AGGCGGGGCUUGAGAGAUAGGUGGAGGCGAACCCACCUUCUCCAAUGGAACACAGGCAGAGGCGGGCCUAGUGGCAGAAGGAGCAUGGCGUGGAGACAGCUGAGAAAGCGGGCUCUGGAUGCAGCCAUCAUCCUUGGGGGUGGAGGACUUCUCUUCACCUCUUACCUGACAGCCACGGGGGAUGACCACUUCUAUGCUGAAUACCUGAUGCCAGCUCUGCAGAGGCUGCUCGAUCCAGAGUCAGCCCACCGGCUGGCUGUUCGAGUCACCUCCCUGGGGCUCCUUCCUAGAGCCACAUUUCAGGACUCCGACAUGCUGGAAGUGAGAGUCCUGGGCCGUAAAUUCCGAAAUCCAGUAGGGAUUGCUGCAGGAUUUGACAAGCAUGGGGAAGCUGUGGACGGACUCUACAAGCUGGGCUUUGGUUUUGUGGAGGUAGGAAGUGUGACUCCCCAGCCUCAGGAAGGAAACCCCAGGCCCAGAGUAUUCCGUCUCCCUGAGGACCAAGCUGUCAUUAACAGGUAUGGAUUCAACAGCCAUGGGCUCUCAGUGGUGGCACACCGGCUACGGGCCAGACAGCAGAAGCAGACCCAGCUCACUGCAGAUGGGCUGCCUCUGGGGAUAAACCUGGGCAAGAAUAAGACUUCGGUGGAUGCUGCUGCAGACUAUGUAGAGGGUGUUCGCAUCCUGGGCCCCUUGGCUGACUACCUGGUGGUAAACGUGUCCAGUCCCAACACUGCUGGUCUGAGAAGCCUACAGGGAAAGACUGAGCUGCGCCGCCUGCUGUCCAAGGUGCUGCACGAGAGGGACGCCUUGAAGGGAGCACAGAAGCCAGCAGUGCUGGUGAAGAUCGCCCCUGAUCUCACGGCUCAGGACAAGGAGGACAUUGCCAGCGUGGCGAGAGAGCUGGGCAUCGAUGGACUGAUUAUCACAAACACCACAGUGAGUCGCCCUAUUGGCCUCCAGGGUGCUCUGCGCUCUGAGACAGGAGGACUGAGUGGGAAGCCACUCCGAGAUCUGUCGACCCAGACCAUCCGGGAGAUGUACGCCCUCACCCAAGGCAGGAUCCCCAUUAUCGGGGUUGGAGGUGUGAGCAGCGGACAGGAUGCCUUGGAGAAGAUCCAGGCAGGGGCCUCCCUGGUGCAGCUGUACACGGCCCUCACCUUCCUGGGGCCGCCAGUCGUGGUCAGGGUGAAGCGUGAGCUGGAGGCCCUUCUGAAGGCUGGAGGGAACCGCUGAUGGCAGGGUGGGAAGAUCUCUUUGCUGCACCUUUGACCAAGGACCAACAGUGCCAAGAGAGUUCAGAAUGAGUCUGAGGCAGUGCUGGUUACCAGGAAGGCUUGCCACUUUCUCGGGCCCCUGGGGAUGGAGGAAUCCUAGCAGAGCAAAGCAGAGAACGGGGCUUUAACACAGUCACGGACGCCAUUGGAGCGGAUCAUCGGAGGUAAUGGUACCUGCCCGGAAGCCCUAUGCAGAACAUGCCUACCAACUCAAGCAAGCUGUGUGACUGCACCGUGAGGGGAAGAGCUGUCUCAAGCCAUGUGCCUUGCCCUGUGGCCUGGAUGGACUGCACAAGCCAGUCGUGGGCAUCACUAGCCAAUGAAGGAUUUCUGUAGGCACUUGAUGAGACUUGUCUCAUCAAGAUCUAAAUUUCAUUGAUUAAAUGAUUAAUUUAAUCCUAAAUCUCUAGGUCUAAAUCCUGGGAAUCGCUCUGUAUCAUAAGGACAUUGGUUUCUUGGGAGGAAAAAUCAUGGAGAAAAUAAAACCAUUUAAACCUGUUUUAAA